rnacentral:lncRNA from 10 species
AGGGAGUGAGUUGAGCAUAGUUUGUAAUUUUUAGGGCCUCUAAAAGUAUUAAAGCAGCAGCAGCUGCUGCAUGCAGACAUGAGGGCUAGGCUAAAACAGUAAGGUCAAGUUGCUUGCACAGAAAGGCUACCGGGUGAGGUCCUGGCUCUUGUGUAAGAAUUCUGACCGCACUAACCAUGCCUAGGAAGGAAAGGAAUUGUUUUGUAAGGGAUUGAGGUUUGGGAGAUUAAUUGGACCCGAUCAGCAGGGAAAGCACGUGUGUUUUUAUGAGAAUUAUGCCGAGAUAGGUAACAGAUGAGGAUGAAAUUUGGGCUUGACUGAAGUAAUAGGAGCUGUCUGUGAAGCCUUGCGGCAGGACAGCCCAGGUAAUUUGCUGAGCCUAAUGGGUGUCAGGGUCACCAAGGAGGGAGUAGAGGUAUCUUAUACUUGUGGGGUAAGGUGGGGGAAUACAAGAGGAGGAU